rnacentral:tRNA from 1 species
CAGGGAGACAACAAAAUGUUUAAUAUUAUUAUUUUGUCACCUUAGGUCGAUCGGUAUCUCACAUUCUUAAUUUAUUAAGGAUUUCAUUUCCUAAGUUUUUCUAGGUCACACCCAUUAUUUUUCCUGGGCCAUUAGCUCAGGUGGUUAGAGCGCACCCCUGAUAAGGGUGAGGUCCCUGGUUCAAGUCCAGGAUGGCCCAUAUCUCUAUGUUGGGGGUAUAGCUCAGUUGGUAGAGCGCCUGCUUUGCAAGCAGGAUGUCAGCGGUUCGAGUCCGCUUACCUCCACUGAUUACCACCUCUUCCAUAAUCAAUAGAAAGGAAAUUUUUUGAGUUGUGAUCAAAUUCGAACGAAUCUAGCUUCCUAAUUAAAUUAUUAAGAUGCUGGACUCAUUGAAUUUAUUUCAUUGUUUUCAGAGAACCUUGACAACUGCAUAGAUUAUUUUAAAGACAAUAAGCAUUAAAUGAUGCAGAUUUAUUAUUUGUGCUAAUGCAUUAAUAACAAUUCUAUUGAGCUGAUGCUCAA